rnacentral:rRNA from 1 species
CGUAGGUGGCGAGCGUUAUCCGGAAUGAUUGGCGUAAGGUGCGUAGGUGGCAGAUCAAGUCUGGAGUAAGGUAUGGGCUCAACCCGUACUUGCUCUGGAACUGAUCAGCUAGAGAACAGAAGAGGACGUCGGAACUCCAUGUGUAGCGGUAAAUGCGUAGAUAUAUGGAAGAACACCGGUGGCGAAGGCGGCCGUCUGGUCUGGAUUCUGACACUGAAGCACGAAAGCGUGGGAGCAAAUAGGAUU